AAUCAACGCUGGCGGCGUGCCUCAGACAUGCAAGUCGAACGCGAAAGUCCCCUUCGGGGGACAAGUAGAGUGGCGCACGGGUGAGUAACACGUAGGUAAUCUACCUUCGGAUGGGGAAUAACAACCGGAAACGGUUGCUAAUACCGCAUAAUGCAGCGGCACCUAAUGGUGACAGUUGUUAAAGCGGGGGAUCGAAAGACCUCGCGUCUGAAGAGGAGCCUGCGGCGGAUUAGCUAGNGGUAAGGUAAUGGCUUACCAAGGCGACGAUCCGUAGCCGGCCUGAGAGGGCGGUCGGCCACACUGACACUGACAUACGGGUCAGACUCCUACGGGAGGCAGCAGUCGGGAAUUUUGGGCAAUGGGCGAAAGCCUGACCCAGCAACGCCGCGUGAAGGAUGAAAUCCCCCGGGAUGUAAACUUCGCAAGAACGGGAAGAAUAAGUAGGGGACAAUACCCCCUAUGAUGACGGUACCGUUUGUAAGCUCCGGCUAACUCCGUGCCAGCCGCCGCGGUAU
rnacentral:rRNA from 1 species